rnacentral:rRNA from 1 species
CCUACGGGAGGCAGCAGUGAGGAAUAUUGGUCAAUGGACGAGAGUCUGAACCAGCCAAGUAGCGUGAAGGAUGACUGCCCUAUGGGUUGUAAACUUCUUUUAUAUGGGAAUAAAACGUUCCACGUGUGGGAUUUUGUAUGUAUCAUAUGAAUAAGGAUCGGCUAACUCCGUGCCAGCAGCCGCGGUAAUACGGAGGAUCGGGGCGUUAUCCGGAUUUAUUGGGUUUAAAGGGAGCGUAGGUGGAUUGUUAAGUCAGUUGUGAAAGUUUGCGGCUCAACCGUAAAAUUGCAGUUGAAAAUGGCAGUCUUGAGUACAGUAGAGGUGGGCGGAAUUCGUGGUGUAGCGGUGAAAUGCUUAGAUAUCACGAAGAACUCCGAUUGCGAAGGCAGUUCACUGGACUGCAACUGACACUGAGGCUCGAAAGUGUGGGUAUCAAACAGGAUUAGAUACCCCGGUAGUC